rnacentral:pre_miRNA from 1 species
AGUGGGAUAGCGGGGUCAAAUGGUGGUUCUAUUCCUGGUUUUCCAAGGAAUCUCCAUACUGCUUUUUAGAUUGGUUGCACCAAUUUGCAGUCCCACCAGCAAU